GAUGAACGCUAGCGACAGGCCUAACACAUGCAAGUCGAGGGGCAGCGGGGAGUGGCAACACUCUGCCGGCGACCGGCGCACGGGUGAGUAACGCGUAUCCAACCUGCCCACCACUUGGGGAUAACCUUGCGAAAGUAAGACUAAUACCCAAUGAUAUCCCUAGAAGACAUCCGAAUGGGAUUAAAGAUUUAUCGGUGAUGGAUGGGGAUGCGUCUGAUUAGCUUGUUGGCGGGGUAACGGCCCACCAAGGCAACAAUCAGUAGGGGUUCUGAGAGGAAGGUCCCCCACAUUGGAACUGAGACACGGUCCAAACUCCUACGGGAGGCAGCAGUGAGGAAUAUUGGUCAAUGGGCGAGAGCCUGAACCAGCCAAGUAGCGUGCAGGACGACGGCCCUAUGGGUUGUAAACUGCUUUUAUAAGGGAAUAAAGUGAGUCUCGUGAGACUUUUUGCAUGUACCUUAUGAAUAAGGACCGGCUAAGUUCCGUG
rnacentral:rRNA from 1 species